rnacentral:pre_miRNA from 1 species
UGUGUGUGUGUGUGUGUGUGUGUGCGCGCGCUCGCGCGCGCGCGCGCCCACACGCCCGCACA